UACGUAGGGGGCAAGCGUUGUCCGGAAUCAUUGGGCGUAAAGAGCGUGUAGGCGGCCCGAUAAGUCCGCUGUGAAAGUCCAGGGCUCAACCCUGGAAUGCCGGUGGAUACUGUCGGGCUCGAAUCCGGAAGAGGUGAGUGGAAUUCCUGGUGUAGCGGUGAAAUGCGCAGAUAUCAGGAGGAACACCUGUGGCGAAAGCGGCUCACUGGACCACAACUGACGCUGAGGCGCGAAAGCUAGGGGGAGCAAACAGG
rnacentral:rRNA from 1 species